UGGGGAAUAUUGGACAAUGGGCGCAAGCCUGAUCCAGCCAUGCCGCGUGAGUGAUGAAGGCCUUAGGGUUGUAAAGCUCUUUCACCGGUGAAGAUAAUGACGGUAACCGGAGAAGAAGUCCCGGCUAAUUUCGUGCCAGCAGCCGCGGUAAUACGUAAGGGACUAGCGUUGUUCGGAAUUACUGGGCGUAAAGCGCGCGUAGGCGGCACGUCAAGUUAGGGGUGAAAUCCCGGAGCUGAACUCCGGAACUGCCUCUAAAACUGGCGAGCUAGAGUUCGAGAGAGGUGAGUGGAAUUCCCAGUGUAGAGGUGAAAUUCGUAGAUAUUGGGAAGAACACCGGUGGCGAAGGCGGCUCACUGGCGCGAUACUGACGCUGAGGUGCGAAAGCGUGGGGAGCAAACAGGAUUAGAUACCCCUGUAGUCC
rnacentral:rRNA from 1 species